rnacentral:misc_RNA from 1 species
GUGAAUCAUCAAAUUUUUGAACGCAAAUUGCACUCUCCUCGGAUAGUAUGCCUGUUUGAGGGUCAGCCUAUAAAAAAUCGACAUCGUUGCUGUUUCGCGGUGACGUUCGUCGGAAAUUGGGUCAUCUUGAAUCCUUUUGGUUUUCAGCGACUUCAAAAUUUCUUUUUGGUUCCAUGAACGUUUCUAAGAUUUAUUUCUUUACACGUUUAAGGUUUCGAUGUUUAUUAGACGUGACCGUCAUAUCGGAUCGCGUCCAUAAUCUUUCAUUACUUGUCC